CUCUCUCUCUGACUCUUCCUCCAGUACUAUGCUCUCUCUCUCUCUCUGACUCUUCCUCCAGUACUAUGCUCUCUCUCUCUCUCUGACUCUUCCUCCAGUACUAUGCUCUCUCUCUCUCUCUGACUCUUCCUCCAGUACUAUGCUCUCUCUCUCUCUCUGACUCUUCCUCCAGUACUAUGCUCUCUCUCUCUCUCUGACUCUUCCUCCAGUACUAUGCUCUCUCUCUCUCUGACUCUUCCUCCAGUACUAUGCUCUCUCUCUCUCUCUGACUCUUCCUCCAGUACUAUGCUCUCUCUCUCUCUCUGACUCUUCCUCCAGUACUAUGCUCUCUCUCUCUCUCUGACUCUUCCUCCAGUACUAUGCUCUCUCUCUCUCUCUGACUCUUCCUCCAGUACUAUGCUCUCUCUCUCUCUCUGACUCUUCCUCCAGUACUAUGCUCUCUCUCUCUCUCUGACUCUUCCUCCAGUACUAUGCUCUCUCUCUCUCUCUGACUCUUCCUCCAGUACUAUGCUCUCUCUCUCUCUGACUCUUCCUCCAGUACUAUGCUCUCUCUCUCUCUCUGACUCUUCCUCCAGUACUAUGCUCUCUCUGUCUCUCUCUCUCUCUGCCUCUCUCUCUCUGCCUCUCUGUCUCUGUGUGUGUGUGUGUGUCCCCUCCUCCAGUACUAUUCUCUCUCUCUCUCUGCCUCUGUCUCUGUGUGUGUGUGUCCCCUCCUCCAGUACUAUUCUCUCUCUGUCUCUCUGCCUCUCUGUCUCUGUGUGUGUGUGUCCCCUCCUCCAGUACUAUUCUCUCUCUCUGACCAAGGAUUUGGUAGAACAGAUAACAUUGUAGUUUUUAAAUUAUUUCUGCUCUGUAAACUAAAGGGACUACAUGCGUGCCUUGGGAUGUUUUAUGUUGACUCUACCACGUCUCUCAGAGAUGGAGCCUUAUUUAUUGUUUAGACCGGUCAAGGUUGAACUAGAUCUCAAUGUUUAUUACCAAGGUUCUCUGUGUUAUAACACCUUCAUGACAUAAGACAUAUAAAACAUGUGGUGUCGUUCCAUGUAAGGAAUAGCUUUAUUGUGAUGUUAGCCAGGGCAGAAAAGGCCAAAUCUAUCCUCUUUAUUUAAGAUGACGUUUUAUAUAUAAAAGUGUUUCUGCUUGCUUUGUUAGUAUGAACAUGCAGAUGUAAAAGAUAUGUCCAUUUCUCUUUAAGGUCGGAUGUGUUCUUGCUAACGAGGAAUGAUGUGCCUUCGUUUCUCCCUGAGCAACGACUUGUUUCCCAAACUCAGUACCCCCUCCCCUCUUGGGUGCAUGUUUUGGGUUUCUGCCCUAGCUGCACUACACAGCUGAUUUCAAAUAUCCAACUCCUUAUCAGGCUUUGAUUACCUGAAUCAGCGGUGUAGUGCAGCGAGGAUGACAAACAAAAUGUGCAUCUGGGGGGGCAGGAUCUGACUCCAAAUGCCACCCUAUUCCCUUCAUAGUGCCCUACUAUAGACCAGAGCCCUAUUCCCUUCAUAGUGCCCUACUAUAGACCAGAGCCCUAUUCCCUUCAUAGUGCACUACUAUAGACCAGAGCCCUAUUCCCUUCAUAGUGCACUACUAUAGACCAGAGCCCUAUUCCCUUCAUUGUGCACUACUAUAGACCAGAGCCCUAUUCCCUUCAUAGUGCACUACUAUAGACCAGAGCCCUAUUCCCUUCAUAGUGCCCUACUAUAGACCAGAGCCCUAUUCCCUUCAUAGUGCCCUACUAUAGACCAGAGCCCUAUUCCCUUCAUAGUGCACUACUAUAGACCAGAGCCCUAUUCCCUUCAUAGUGCCCUACUAUAGACCAGAGCCCUAUUCCCUUCAUAGUGCACUACUAUAGACCAGAGCCCUAUUCCCUUCAUAGUGCCCUACUAUAGACCAGAGCCCUAUUCCCUUCAUAGUGCCCUACUAUAGACCAGAGCCCUAUUCCCUUCAUAGUGCCCUACUAUAGACCAGAGCCCUAUUCCCUUCAUAGUGCCCUACUAUAGACCAGAGCCCUAUUCCCUUCAUAGUGCCCUACUAUAGACCAGAGCCCUAUUCCCUUCAUAGUGCACUACUAUAGACCAGAGCCCUAUUCCCUUCAUAGUGCCCUACUAUAGACCAGAGCCCUAUUCCCUUCAUAGUGCACUACUAUAGACCAGAGCCCUAUUCCCUUCAUAGUGCCCUACUAUAGACCAGAGCCCUAUUCCCUUCAUAGUGCCCUACUAUAGACCAGAGCCCUAUUCCCUUCAUAGUGCACUACUAUAGACCAGAGCCCUAUUCCCUUCAUAGUGCCCUACUAUAGACCAGAGCCCUAUUCCCUUCAUAGUGCACUACUAUAGACCAGAGCCCUAUUCCCUUCAUAGUGCACUACUAUAGACCAGAGCCCUAUUCCCUUCAUAGUGCACUACUAUAGACCAGAGCCCUAUCCCCCUCAUAGUGCACUACUAUAGACCAGAGCCCUAUUCCCUUCAUAGUGCACUACUAUAGACCAGAGCCCUAUUCCCUUCAUAGUGCACUACUAUAGACCAGAGCCCUAUUGCCUUCAUAGUGCCCUCCUUUUGACCAGAGCCCUAUUCCCUUCAUAGUGCCCUCCUUUUGACCAGAGCCCUAUUGAGUGAAUCUUGGCCAUUUGGGACUCAGUCUAAGCUUCCUCAGUGUUUGUUAAAGAGGCCACGCUAGUAUUGUCGGACACUAUUUUGCAACAACCCUUUUUUGUUUUUGAGAAUUCAUCUUUUUAAAAUAUUUUUUUUACCCACUUUAGUGCCAUGGUGUUGGUCUCCCAUCCUUCAAUAUCAUCAGGGUCAAAUGAGAACUAAGUUAUCAUAUUAUUUUGUUUUUCUUACGGGUCCACCUGCCUAGCUACAGCCAGUCAACCGUUAAUGCCUAUUUCUCGUAUGAGUCCCAACUGACUAUAUAGUGUCCUAUAUAGUGCACUACUUUGAACCAGAGCUCUAUGGCCCUUGAUUAAAAGUAGUGCUCUGUGUAGCCAAUUUAUAAUGAAAAAAAGCCUUAUGUAUUGGCCCCGGUCAAAAGUAUUGCGCUACAGAGAAUAGAGUGCCAUUUGAGAGGCAGCCCUUGUGACAGUCCUGACCCUAGCUGGUCUAAUGACUUGCCUCAGACAGUCCUGACCCUAGCUGGUCUAAUGACUUGCCUCAGACAGUCCUGACCCUAGCUGGUCUAAUGACUUGCCUCAGACAGUCCUGACCCUAGCUGGUCUAAUGACUUGCCUCAGACAGUCCUGACCCUAGCUGGUUAUUGACUUGCCUCAGACAGUCCUGACCCUAGCUGGUCUAAUGACCUGCCUCAGACAGUCCUGACCCUAGCUGGUCUAAUGACCUGCCUCAGACAGUCCUGACCCUAGCUGGUCUAAUGACUUGCCUCAGACAGUCCUGACCCUAGCUGGUCUAAUGACUUGCCUCAGACAGUCCUGACCCUAGCUGGUCUAAUGACUUGCCUCAGACAGUCCUGACCCUAGCUGGUCUAAUGACUUGCCUCAGACAGUCCUGACCCUAGCUGGUCUAAUGACCUGCCUCAGACAGUCCUGACCCUAGCUGGGUCUCAGGACCUGUCUCAGACAGUCCUGAUCCUAGCUGGUCUAAUGACCUGCCUCAGACAGUCCUGACCCUAGCUGGUCUAAUGACCUGCCUCAGACAGUCCUGACCCUAGCUGGGUCUCAGGACCUGUCUCAGACAGUCCUGAUCCUAGCUGGUCUAAUGACUUGCCUCAGACAGUCCUGACCCUAGCUGGUCUAAUGACCUGCCUCAGACAGUCCUGACCCUAGCUGGUCUAAUGACCUGCCUCAGACAGUCCUGACCCUAGCUGGUCUAAUGACCUGCCUCAGACAGUCCUGACCCUAGCUGGUCUAAUGACUUGCCUCAGACAGUCCUGACCCUAGCUGGUCUAAUGACUUGCCUCAGACAGUCCUGACCCUAGCUGGUCUAAUGACCUGCCUCAGACAGUCCUGACCCUAGCUGGUCUAAUGACCUGCCUCAGACAGUCCUGACCCUAGCUGGUCUAAUGACCUGCCUCAGACAGUCCUGACCCUAGCUGGUCUAAUGACUUGCCUCAGACAGUCCUGACCCUAGCUGGUCUAAUGACUUGCCUCAGACAGUCCUGACCCUAGCUGGUCUAAUGACCUGCCUCAGACAGUCCUGACCCUAGCUGGUCUAAUGACUUGCCUCAGACAGUCCUGACCCUAGCUGGUCUAAUGACCUGCCUCAGACAGUCCUGACCCUAGCUGGUCUAAUGACUUGCCUCAGACAGUCCUGACCCUAGCUGGUCUAAUGACCUGCCUCAGACAGUCCUGACCCUAGCUGGUCUAAUGACCUGCCUCAGACAGUCCUGACCCUAGCUGGUCUAAUGACCUGCCUCAGACAGUCCUGACCCUAGCUGGUCUAAUGACUUGCCUCAGACAGUCCUGACCCUAGCUGGUCUAAUGACCUGCCUCAGACAGUCCUGACCCUAGCUGGUCUAAUGACCUGCCUCAGACAGUCCUGACCCUAGCUGGUCUAAUGACCUGCCUCAGACAGUCCUGACCCUAGCUGGUCUAAUGACCUGCCUCAGACAGUCCUGAUCCUAGCUGGUCUAAUGACCUGCCUCAGACAGUCCUGAUCCUAGCUGGUCCUUUGACCUGCCUCAGACAGUCCUGAUCCUAGCUGGUCUAAUGACCUGCCUCAGACAGUCCUGACCCUAGCUGGUCUAAUGACCUGCCUCAGACAGUCCUGACCCUAGCUGGUCUUAAUGACCUGCCUCAGACAGUCCUGACCCUAGCUGGUCUAAUGACCUGCCUCAGACAGUCCUGAUCCUAGCAGGUCUAAUGACUCUAGUGUAACACAAACCUCCAUGAUCAAAAGAAGAUUUCAGUCAUUGUGAAUCAACCAAGAGAGACAUUGUAACCUAAUAUAUUUAAGAUCCAUACCACUGUUCCAUGUUUUUAUUGUUGAUUUAUCAUCAGGUUAGACAGGUACUUUUUGAUGGAAAAGUGAAAAAGCAUUCGAAUUUAUGUAUUUGAACCAGAAAUGCCAAAUGUAUGACAGUACCAGCGUUCAUUUAGCUAUAUGUGAUUGUGUACACAGAAUGUUUGGUCAAAUUUGAGCAUGUUUAUAAUAUACCUGGCGUAAUAGUGGAAUGACAAGUGUCGAGCCGCGGCUUUUGUGGAGCGAUGGGUAACGAUGCUUCGAGGGUGACUGUUGUCGAUGUGUGCAGAGGGUCCCUGGUUCGCGCCCGGGUAUGGGCGAGGGGACGGACGUAAAGUUAUUCUGUUACAUUUUGGUACACCAGCUUCAAACAGCUGUAAAAAAUAUAUAUAUAUAUAUAUUGUUUUGUUAUUGAAGGGAUAUUUCACAGCGAUUUCUAGACGGUAUAAUGAUUCCCUACGCUAUUCAGUGCUUGUUUUUGCACAAAACUAAAGUUGAGCGAACUGUAUAGAAUAUUAGCAACGAGGAAAAGAGAAGGAUUUCUAUUAGAUGACAGAACAGAACAGAACAACGGAUGCCGCACCGGCGGGAGAAAUCAAUAGGCCAAUAUCCACCAUUGUUGUGAUUGGCUGUGAUAAGUAACACUGGUGAAAUCCUAUUAGCGCCAGCUAUAUUAUGGACAUUUUCUGAAAAUACUACAUUCCUGUGUAGCACUUUUUUAGGUUCACCAGAUCCUUGAUGCUGGACGUAGAGAUUAUUUAUCAUCAGUUAGUUAUAUUAAUCAAUGUGACCAAUCAAGCAUAACUCAAAUGUACGAUAUAUUUAUAAAAUAAUUUAUCCUGUGAAAAGUUAGAAUUGUAAAAAAAUAUUUGAUUGAAAUAAAACAGGUGCCAUGCUUGCUCAAAGUUACAUUUUUUUCUCUUGUUACAAAUCCCAUUGUAUUUUAAUGGUCACAUACACUUAGACGGCCUAAUAAUAUUCAUCCAUAUGUACGCUGUUCGUCUUUUUAGUUUUCGUUGCUCCGAGUAAGGUCUGGGAUGUCCAAGGCGAGCUAUAUAGAUUGCCAGCUUGUAGUCCUAAAACCCCGAAUUAAGUUACCUCAGGUUUGUUCAGCCAUCCCUAUAGGGAAAAUUAAUGGGGAAAAUAAUAGGUUUUUGGAAUUAAUGCCCGGAAAUAAGGUCAGAGGUUAACACGGGUUUAGGCGAUCUUGUACGUUUUGUUCUGAGAUGGCAGCAGUCAGUUAACAUAACAAUUAUGAAGCCUUUAUACGUUCUUUAAAAUUCACAAAGUGACGUUAGCUGAUAAAGAUUAUCAUAGGCUUAAGACAUUUGAUGCGUUCUGAUCUGUGUUUACUACACAUAUUAUUGUCGGUGUUUAUACAAAAAAAAACACGCCAUUAAUUUUCCUCAGGCUUUGUCCAGCAAACCAUGGCGGAGUUAAUGUCUACAAAAAGACGGCAUUAACGUUACAAAAAAAUAAAAGAUCCCAGAAGUGUUCAUUACGCACAAAAAUAGCUUUUUCCCCCCCCUCAUUCUGUGUACGAAUCUGACAUCCCUGUUUGGAUUAUUUUGGCAAAGGACAAAUACUUCCACCUGACAGGUGUUGCAGAGCAAAAAGCUGAUUCAAUAGCACGAUCCUUACACAGGUGCACAGGUACAUGCAAUUACCUUGCUGACUGCAGGAAUGUCCACCAGAUAAUUGAAUGUUUAUUUCUCUACCAUUUUAGAGAAUUUGGCCUCACAACCGCAGACCACGUGUAACCACGCCAGCCCAGGACCUCCACAUCCGGGCUUCUUCACUUGCGGGCUCGUCUGAGACCAGCAACCCAGACAGGUGGUGGAACUGUGGGUCUGUAUAAACUCAGAGAAGCUCAUCUGUGUGCUUGUCGUCCUCACCUCACCUCAGUUCAGUGUCUUAACUGACGACAGUGGGCAAAUGCUCAUCUUCAAUGGCCACUGGCACGCUGAAGAAGUGUGUUCUUCACGGAUGAAUCCCGGUUUCAACUGUACAGGUGGCUGACAGCGUGUGUGGGCGAGCGGUUUGCUGAUGAUGUUGUGAACAGAGUGCCCCAUGGUGGUGGUGGGAUUACGGUAUGGGGUAGGAAUAAGUCACGGACAACGAACACAAUUGCAUUUUAUCGAUGUCAAUUUGAAUGCAUAGAGAUACCGUGACGAGAUCCUGAGGCCCAUUGUCGUUCCAUUCAUCCUCCGCCAUCACCUCAUGUUUCAGCAUGAUAAUGCAAGGCCCCAUGUCGCUAGGAUCUGUACACAAUUCCUGGAAGCUGAAAAUGGCCCAGUUCUUCCCUGGCCUGCAUACUCACCAGACACGUCACCCACUGAGCAUGUUUGGGAUGCUCUGGAUUGACGUGUAUGACUGAGUGUUCCAGUUCCUGGCAAUAGCCAGCAACUUCACACAGCCAUUGAAGAGGAGUGGGACAACAUUACACAGGCCACAAUCAACAGCCUGAUCAACUCUAUGAGAUGUUGCGCUGUAUGAGGAUGUAUAAUAUGUAUAAAUGGUGGUCACUUCUGAUCCACGCCCCUACCUUUUUGUUUUAAGGUAUCUGUGACCAAUAGAUGCGUAUCUAAUGCAAAUCCACAGAUUUUGGCCUAAUUCAUUAAUUUCAAAUGGACUAAUUUCCUUAUAUGAACUGUAAUUUAGUAACAUCUUAAAUGGUUGCAUUUAGAUUUUUAUUCCGUGUAAUUUCUCCUUUAUACAGUAUUUGUAAUGGGAGGAAAACUGAGGGGCGGGGUUUAGGAUUUGAGUGUCAGUUUUUCCCGGCAUCUUCGUAGAAAGCUAUGCCAGAGAUAUUAGAGCAAGGAUGAGAUUGGAGGAGAUUUGUUAACGAUCUAUUUCACUUGCGUUGUGCAAUGUAGACAUGUUUUCCACGCCAAUAAAAGCCUUUGAAUUGAAUUUAUAGGAAGUCCAUUAGGCAAUGAAUGAGUGAAAUAUAACCGGGCUACCCAGCAGACUGUCAACCAAGCGCGUUCACGUUAUCCCGCGGUUGUUAAACUACUCGUCACGCAAAUCCCUUCCCAAAGUCAAGGUAUUAGUCGAAAAACGUGCCUAUUUUCCUCGAAAGUACGUAAUGUCACCAUUCCAGAGCUAUACAAUAUUACAAACGGCAAGAGUAAUUAUCUCACAUCUUGGAAAAUAUUUUGUAAUGUUGUACAUCUUGUUGACGAAAUUUCUGUUAAUGUUAUGUUUUUGAGCUUUGAAGAAGAGUCCUUGAAGGAACCAGCUCAUCUGUCCCAGAAUGCACCGCGCAGCUCAGUGGCGUUUCCCAUCUCCUCAAAAUUAUCUCUGACGAUGGGAGAGUUUUUAAAAAAAUGGCGUCGUGGCGUCGAAUGGUGGGGACCGUGGUGCUUGCAAAAAAAAUGCACGGGACCCGUACAACGACCGACGGACAACACCCGGGACAUUAGCGUUUACUGAUUAUUUGUGGUGGCUUGGAUGUCUUUCACGCGACACAUCUCCUUCGGAUAGAGUUGAUCAGGCUGUUGAUUGUGGCCUAUAGAAUGUCGUCCCACUCCUCUUCAGUGGCUGUGUGAAGUUCCUGGAUAUUGGUGGAAACUGGAACACGCUGUUGUACACACCGUUCCACAGCAUCCCAAACAUGCUCAAUGGGUGACGUGUCUGCUUCUAGACGAGAUCUUCUCUGACAGUGCAAACAUCUGAACAUGUACAUCGUUUGACAAAGAUGCAAACUAAAUGAGUGCCAGACUGCCAGGUGUGGGGGAACUGUCCUGCGGACAACAGGCCUCCCAUGCCAGACUGCCAGGUGUCGGAACUGUCCUGUGGACCACAGGCCUCCCAUGCCAGACUGCCAGGUGUGGGGGAACUGUCCUGCGGACAACAGGCCUCCCGUGUGAGACAAGUCUGGAUUUAGGCCACCAUCACCCAACUGUCAAGCUCCACAGCUGUUGAAACCAGAGAU